rnacentral:rRNA from 1 species
UACGGAGGGUGCAAGCGUUAUCCGGAUUCACUGGGUUUAAAGGGAGCGUAGGCGGGUUGGUAAGUCAGUGGUGAAAUCUUCAAGCUUAACUUGGAACUGCCGUUGAUACUAUCAAUCUUGAAUAUUUGUGGAGGUAAGCGGAAUAUGUCAUGUAGCGGUGAAAUGCUUAGAUAUGACAUAGAACACCGAUAGCGAAGGCAGCUUGCUACACAAUUAUUUGACGCUGAGGCUCGAAAGCGUGGGGAUCAAACAGG